UAAGAGCCUUAUUUGGGGAGAAUCUAAAGCAUUAUACUACUUCUAACUCUUUUCUCCUUAGGCCUCAAAAAGACAAGAGAUUUGAAUGAAUACUGAAGAUGAGAUCUAUUCACUGAACCUGUUUACAUAACUAAGGCAAGUGGAAGGAAUAUGGAAUGACUACCCUAACACCACCAGCCUUCCUUUCUGAAUAUAUCAUCCAUCACUUUCUUCAUUAAACUCUCCAAAGAGGGUCCAUGAUAAAUAUGGCAUUUCACAAUCCAAAAACAGUAAUGCCUUUUGAAGAAAUACAACUCCCAGCAAAAGCACAGAGUCUGCUAGACUGUCCCGUCACCAUCAGUGGGGUUGCCUACAUUGAUUAUGGCCUGUUCCUUUGACAAGCACCCCAGGCCCGUGGAUUUCUCCAGGCACUCAUUAGUGUGACUGCUAAUCCCUCUCAAGGCCCUGAAAAUACUUCUUUAGAGAUCCAAAGUAAUUUUCUGAUAUUCCAUCUAAUCUAUAUUCUAAGCCAAACCAUUCUAAAUACACUCAGAGUUA